rnacentral:rRNA from 1 species
CCGCUACCACGCGAGUGGAUGCCAAUCCCUAAAACCCCUCUCAGUUCGGACUGGAGUCUGCAACCCGACUCCACGAAGCUGGAUUCGCUAGUAAUCGCGCAUCAGCCACGGCGCGGUGAAUACGUUCCCGGGCCUUGUACACACCGCCCGUCAAGCCAUGGGAGCCGGGGGGUACCUGAAGUGCGUAACCGCGAGGAUCGCCCUAGGGUAAAACUGGUGACUGGGGCUAAGUCGUAACAAGGUAUC